GGUAAUCCAUAGUACUCCCCCGCCUCCACUUGCCAGCCUCGUGAUUCCUUCAUUGACACAUAGCUCAGUUCCCAUAAAAGGGCUGGUUUGCUGCAUCGGGGAGUGGAGUGGGACAGGUAUAUAAAGGAAGUACAGGGCCUGGGGAAGAGGCCCUGUCUAGGUAGCUGGCACCAGGAGCCGUGGGCAAGGGAAGAGGCUACACCCUGACCUGCUCUGCGACAGCCAGAAUGUGUGUGAAGGCGGCUCAAACAGGCUUUGUGGUCCUGGUGCUGCUCCAGUGCUGCUCUGCAUACAAACUGGUCUGCUACUACACCAGCUGGUCCCAGUACCGGGAAGGCGACGGGAGCUGCUUCCCAGAUGCCAUUGACCGCUUCCUCUGUACCCACAUCAUCUACAGCUUUGCCAAUAUAAGCAACGAUCACAUCGACACCUGGGAGUGGAAUGAUGUGACGCUCUACGGCAUGCUCAACACACUCAAGAACAGGAACCCCAAUCUGAAGACGCUCUUGUCUGUCGGAGGAUGGAACUUUGGCUCUCAAAGAUUUUCCAAGAUGGCCUCCAACACCCAGAGUCGCCAGACUUUCAUCAAGUCAGUACCGCCAUUUCUGCGCACCCAUGGCUUUGAUGGGCUGGACCUUGCCUGGCUCUACCCUGGAUGGAGAGACAAGCAGCAUUUUACCACCCUAAUCAAGGAAAUGAAGGCCGAAUUUGCAAAGGAAGCCCAGCCAGGGAAAAAGCAGCUCCUGCUCAGUGCAGCAGUGUCUGCGGGGAAGGUCACCAUUGACAGCAGCUAUGACAUUGCCCAGAUAUCUGAACACCUGGAUUUCAUUAGCAUCAUGACGUACGAUUUUCAUGGAGCCUGGCGUGGGACCACAGGCCAUCAUAGUCCCCUGUUCCGAGGCCAGGAAGAUGCGAGUCCUGACAGAUAUAGCAACACUGACUAUGCUGUGGGGUACAUGUUGAGGCUGGGGGCUCCUGCCGGCAAGCUGGUGAUGGGCAUCCCCGCCUUCGGGAAAAGCUUCACUCUGGCCUCUUCUGAGACUGGUGUUGGAGCCCCAAUCUCCGGACCAGGAAUUCCAGGCCGGUUCACCAAGGAGGCAGGGACCCUUGCCUACUAUGAGCCCGCAGACCCUGGAGAGAGUGAGGCCGCAGGAUGGAGCAGGAGCUAAAAGAGAUUUGGAGAGUGGCGUCUCCUGGUGACCUGCAAGGUGUCAGAACGACUCCCCACACGACCUUUCCCCUGUUAUCUGCUCAGAUCUGUGACUUCCUCCGCGGAGCCACAGUCCAUAGAAUCCUCGGCCAGCAGGUCCCCUAUGCCACCAAAGGCAACCAGUGGGUAGGAUACGACGACCAGGAAAGCGUCAAAAGCAAGGUGCAGUACCUGAAGGACAGGCAGCUGGCAGGCGCCAUGGUAUGGGCCCUGGACCUGGAUGACUUCCAGGGCUCCUUCUGUGGCCAGGAUCUGCGCUUCCCUCUCACCAAUGCCAUCAAGGAUGCACUCGCCACAACUUAGCCCUCUGUUCUUCUGCACACAGCCCGGGGGCCAAGGAUGCCCCAUCCCCCUCUGGCUCCAGCUGGCCAGGAGCCUGAUCACCUGCCCUGCUGAGUCCCAGGUUGAGCCUCAGUCUCCCUCCCUUGGAGCCUAUGCAGAGGGCCACAACACACAGAUUUGAGCUCAGCCCUGGUGGGCAGGGAGGUAGGGAUAGGGCUGCGGGGAUAGUGAGGCAUCACAGUGUAAGACUCGGGAUUAGUACACACUUAUUGAUUAAUGGAAAUAUUUACAGAUCCCCAAGCCUGGCAAGGGAAUUUCUUAAACUCCCUGCCCCCCAGUUCUUAUCAAAGGACACCAUUUUGGCAAGCUCUAUCACCAAGUAGCCAAACAUCCUACAAGACACAGUGACCAUACUAAUUAUACCCUCUGCAAAGCCCAGUUUGAAAUCUUCACUUAGGAACGUAAUCGUGCCCCCUAUCCUACUUCCCCUUCCUAAUUCCACAGCUGCUCAAUAAAGUACAAGAGCUUAACAGUG